GAUGCCAGGGAUAGAACAGAGGACCUUCUGAAUGGAAUUUACCACUGAAUUACAAGCACCUGCACCUUGUCAGUCAGUCACAUGCCUAUAUAAAUGCAUCCGCAUGAGCAACAAGGCCUUAUUUGGAGCACAGCCAGCCGUUCCAUAUGCUAUAGCAGAACCGGGACUCAAGAGGACUCACAAUAAAUAAAACAAGCAUGGAUAAAACACAGAUACCUAAAAACAUAUAAAAGGUAAAAGAGUAGUUUAAAAGUAAUUAAAAUAUAAUAAAAUGAAAAUGAUAUAAAAACAAAUCUGUUGAAAUGCAGAUUUUAAAAUAGCAAGUACUAUUAAAAGCUCUUUCCUUUAAGAGCAAUUAUUGUUGUUUUGUCUAUUUAGUGAUGGUUAGCUCCUGAAUUUAUAUGUGGCUCACAGUGCAGUUAUCAGUCAGAUUGAUAACUACAAAUUCUCUCUCUCUCUCUCUCAAUAAAACCUGCAUAUAGAAAUGCCUCUUUUAUGGGGAAAUGCAUAUAAAAUGUAUAUUUUAGAGGAAAGCAUACAAAAAUAUGCAUUUGAGGGGUGAAAUGUAUGCAAAAUGCCUAUUUUAGGAGAAAAUGCAUUCAAAAAUGCAUAUAUUAGGAAAAAUGCAAUUUAAAUGCAGAUGUUCAAUGUGGUUUUAAAAAUAUCCAUGGAAAAUAGGUUGGAGCAGACUCCAGGGAUGAAUGUGUGUGCAAGUGGCACAGAAGGAAAAUAGGCUGAUCUGUCCGUGCCUCAAUUUCACAUGCCGGCAAGAUGCUUUUUAAAUUGCCAGUAACAGAUUGCAGGAGAAUUAUGCUUUUCCUGGCAUGUCUUUAACCUAAAGAACAAACACCUACUUGACUUUUAAAAUAGUGAAAGACCAGCAGUUUCUGUCUACAUGAAUAUAGCACAAAGCAGAUGGAGUAAUCUGUUGAGGUGGAAGAGUGGCAGGGAAGACAACCUUGAGCUGGGAAACAAGCCCUGGUGAGAGACUAGGAAUAUUACAGACUUGACUCUAGUCAUAGCCACAGCAUACCACUUUAAGAGUCACAGUUCCCACCCCCACCCCACCCAAAGAAUCCUGGGAACUGUAGUUUUCC
rnacentral:lncRNA from 1 species